rnacentral:rRNA from 1 species
GUCGAGGAUCUUCCGCAAUGCGCGAAAGCGUGACGGAGCGAUGCCGCGUGGAGGACGACGGCCUUCGGGUUGUAAACUCCUGUCACCCGGGAUGAAACACGACAGUACCGGGAGAGGAAGCUACGGCUAACUACGUGCCAGCAGCCGCGGUAAUACGUAGGUGGCAAGCGUUAUUCGGAUUUAUUGGGCGUAAAGGGUCCGCAGGGGGCUGGCCAAGUCUGGUGUGAAAGCCUUCGGCUCAACCGGGGAAGUGCACUGGAAACUGGCUGGCUAGAGGUCUGGAGAGGGAAGUGGAAUUCCUGGUGUAGCGGUGGAAUGCGUAGAUAUCAGGAAGAACACCAAUGGCGAAGGCAGCUUCCUGGCCAGAACCUGACCCUCAGGGACGAAAGCUGGGGGAGCAAACAGGAUUAGAAACCCCUGUAGUCC